rnacentral:rRNA from 1 species
CGAGCGAACAGGGAAAAGUCCAGCGCCGAAUUUCACGUUCUUUGUGGACGUUUGAAAAAUGUGGCGUUCAGGAAGUCGCGUGCCGAGGUUCGGCUCUGCAGCAAGUCCCCCUGACCGGGGCUGUUACCCAGAGUGGGUGCGAGGCCCAUAGCUGCUGUGCCUGCCUUGGAUGCGACCUCUUGGGAGUCGGGUUGCUUGGGAGUGCAACCCUAAUUGGGUGGUAAACUCCACCUAAGACUAAAUACGGCCGUGAGACCGAUAGCAAACAAGUACCGUGAGGGAAAGUUGCAAAGAACUUUGAAGAGAGAGUUCAAGAGUACGUGAAACUGCUCAGAGGCAAACGUGUGGGCCCUCGAAAUCCUCCAGCGGGGGGAUUCAGUCAGGAAAGGCCGAGGUGAUGUGCGGUUGAACAAACGGACCCUUUCCGGGGACGGAUCGCCAUCGCGGUCUCAGCCGUGCCUGACGCAUUUCUUCCCGCUCAAGGACGCCGCAUCCGGUUGGGUAGCUGCGAGAGUCGGCCAUGAGGAUAGGCGCUGGAAGUUGGCCGGUGGUGUUGCAUUUCGCUUCGUUGCCGGUUGUUAUCCAGUCUGUCUGUGGCACGACACCCGACCGAGGUUGACUCGUUCCCUCCGGGGAACCGGCCGUCCCCUUCCCGUCUGGGAGCAGUUGCUUCGGAAGGUGUUUCGCGGAGUUGCCUUCUCACUCUUUGUAGUGUGUGGCGCUCCGUGUUCCCUGGUGGCCGAAAGCUACUGCGGGGGUUCAUGCGGCUCGCGGCGAGUGAGUCGGUCACCCACACGACCCGUCUUGAAACACGGACCAAGGAGUCUAACAUGUGCGCGAGUCACGGGGUCUUGAACAGGCCCAGAGGCGCAAUGAAAGUGAAAGCUGGUUUCAUGCUGGCUGUGUUGGGAUCUUUCGCCCUAUGUGGCGAGAGGGCACCAACGAUCCGUCCUAUCCGAUUUAUCGGUUGGCCGGAAUCUGAGCGUACACGUUGGGACCCGAAAGAUGGUGAACUAUGCCUGGGCAGGACGAAGCCAGAGGAAACUCUGGUGGAGGUCC